UUGGGAACAUUCCAAGCGAGCCCGGUUCCCCGCAAAGCUAACGGUGCAGAAGAAAGGACGCGGGGUGAGAUUUUCCCCCCCCCCUCCUCGCGCCGCCCGUGCACGGGAUCGCGGCCGCGCUGAAAUCCAGCCCGGCACUGUCCGAUUGCAGAGUCCAGCCUCUCCCUCGGCGCUCACCCUUUGCUGCUGGUCUUUGUUUCGUUUCACCCUUCCUCCGGUAGCUCUCACUGCACUGGGCACAGACUUCCUCUAGGUCAGCAGCAGCUGCGAUUGCAACAUAAGUUGCAGCCAAGUCACAAACCAUGUUGUCCCUCGGGUUCCAGGGGAGGAAAAUGCCUGCAGGGAUGGACUGCUCAGCAUGCUAAACCUCCAAGACUGACUGAGGCAUACGACGAGAACAGGAGCCCCACCGCAAUGACCAGGGAAAGGGAGUUCUGAAUGUUAAGAGAACAGCUCUGCUGUUGGGUUGAAAGGAAAAACUCCAUGAGAAAAUGCAACCCAAGGAAGAACCAGAGCCAUCCAGUUAGCUGCAUGACCCUUGGCACCUCAGAAUCUGUGCUGCAUGUUGUCAACCUCUCCUCCUGGUCAGCAGAGCAACCCGGGCCCAUCAGCUGCACUUUGACUAUUGCAUCAUUGACUUUUCUAUAACCGCCCCUUGCCAACCUUCCAACCGUCCCUCCCCAUCCCCUCCACCGGCUCCCUAGCAGCUGCCUGGCCUACCAGAGAGAACCCAGACACAGAAGAAUCACAUCCACCUGCUGUCUGGCGCCACCAUGAAAGACCCUGCAAAGCGCGCGGCCCAGAAGACGCAUAUGUGCCCAGACUGUGGGAAAUCCUUCAGCAAGAAGGGAAAUCUGAAGAGACACCAGAGGAUCCACACAGCAGAGGAGCUCUACCCGUGCGGUGAGUGUGGGAGGCGCUUCACCACGAGGGGACACCUUACCACCCACCAGAGCAUCCACACCGGAGAGAGGCCUUUCCAGUGUGACGAGUGCGGACGGUGCUUCCGGCUGGAGAUAUGCCUGGCUGCCCACCAGAAGACACACACCAAAGGCGGGCCGUAUAUCUGUGUCCACUGUGGGAAGAGCCUGAGCACACGCAUCUACUUCAGCAUCCACAUGAGAACCCACAAGGAAAAGCGGCCGUACGCCUGCACCGAGUGCGGGAAGAGCUUUGUGAAGAAGGGGACGCUGACGGCACACAAGGAGAUACACAAACGGGAUAAGCCUUUCAAGUGCUCCGACUGCAGCCGGUGCUUUGGCCAGAGCGCAACACUGGUGGCUCACCAGAAAAUCCACCUCCGCGGGGGGCCAUUCAUAUGCACCGAGUGCGGGAAAAGCUUGAGCACCAAGAGGUAUUUUAACGUCCACCAGAGGAACCACGCAAAGCAGAGGCUACAGGAAGCCACUGGACAUGUAAAUGGCAUGCCUCUCCGGGUCAUCCAGAUUAAAGAGGAACCGGAUGUGACCUUCAAACAGGAGGAUAGCUAUAGCCUGGGGAAGAACAUUACAAUACCAGGAGCUCCCUCAGAGGACGGACCCCAGGAAGGUCCUGAUUGUGGAACCCAAUCCAGCCCAAAGAUCCUUGUUAGCACUCCGUGGGGAAUCCAGACUAAGGAGGAACCAGACACAUACCCUGAACAUGAGAGAAACAUCAUUACAGUAGCCCACCAGAACCCUUACAUCAAGGAGGAACCACAAGCCAGCCCCGACUAUGACAACCAAUUCAAUCCAAAGAUGCCUCUCUUUCCUCCAUGGGGAAUCCAGGCUACAAAGGAAGCUGGGGUGGACAACGAACACCAGAGGGAUGUCACUAUGAUCGGCAGUCUUGCGGCCUGCCAGAAACCCCGCAUCAAGGAAGAACCACAGGAGAGCACCGACCAUGGAAGCAACUUCAGUCAAAAGACAUCUCUUGGCACCAUCCAGAGGAUCCAGAUUAAAGAGGGAGCCGGGGCAGAUGGCGAACAUGGGGAAAGCUGCAGCCCAAAGAAAAAACACAGAAAACACCAGAGAACCAGCGAAGAGGGGACUUCUGGUGCAUGUACCGAGAGCCGGGCAAACACAAAAUGCAAGAAAAAUCCCUUGACGAAGGACGGUCCCAAAGCGGAGAGGAUAUUUCCGUGUCCCGAGUGUGGGAAAAGCUUCAACCAGAAGUCGAAUCUUACUAGGCACCGGAAGAUCCACACCAGUGAGGGGCCUUAUAAGUGCAACGAGUGCGGGGAGAGUUUCCGGAUGAACAGGAAGCUCAUCAGGCAUCAGAGGAUCCACAUGAGUGAGCCCUUUAAAUGCACCGAGUGUGGGAAAAGCUUCACCCAGCGGUCAAACCUCGUGAGGCACCAGCGGAUCCACACCAGGGAGGAGCCGUACAAAUGUCCCGAAUGCGAGAAGACCUUCAAUCAGAAGGCCAACCUCUUCAGGCACCAGACGAUCCACAUCAGGAUGGGACCGUGCAAAUGCACCAAGUGUGGGAAAUGCUUCACUCAGAAGAAAAACCUUAUUAGACACCAGACGCUGCACUCCAGGGGCGGGGCUUAUAAAUGCACGGUGUGUGGGAAACGGUACAGGCUGAAGAAAUAUCUGAGGAGGCACCAGAAAAUCCAUAUGAGGGAGGGACCCACCGGGCGUGCAAAACGGGGGGGAAAGCUGGGAGCACCAGCGAGCAUUAGCAACCACCCCCAGACCCACCCAGAACAAAGAGCGCUCCCAGCUGUGAAAAGUGAGGAGAGCAACCUCUAGCCACAGAGCAAAGCCCACAAAGGAAGGUGAUAAGCAUGGACCAAAUUCUGCAGUCUUUAGUGGAGCAAAACUCCUACUAUAAACAGAAGGAGGCAGUGUGGCUGGGAUACAGGAGACCUGCAUCCAGUUCCUGGGUCUGUCACUUGGGCAAGUCAGUUUCCCUCCUCAUGCCUCAGUUUCCUCAUCUGUAAAAUGGGGUUAAGGAUACUGACCUCCUUGGUAAAGAGCGAGGUAGUAGAAUUAUUAACCAGAGAUUUGCUCCAUUGAAGAAUGCGGAGUUUAGCCCAAUCAGCCCCAACUCUUACACAGGCUGAAUGUAUUAAACAGGUGCAAAGCAUUGAUUUCGAGUGUACCAUUUUGCUUCUGGAAAAGAAGUGGGGAAUGUAUCUGCUGAGCCUGGCUCUGAGAAAUGGGCAUCGCCCACAUGGACAUCGCUCCCAUCGAUACCAGAGGUCAGCUCUGGGACUGAAACUUGGGAUGAAACUUGGGAAGGCCAACGUUUUCAAACCGGGGUGGGGGGUCGAGAUUAGGCUGCAGAAUGAAAGAUGUCUCAGGCUGGGCACCUAACAUGGAGAUACUCAAACUCAGUGGCCACUUUUGAAAAUUUGGCUGGCAGUGAGCAAAUGCUGCUCUCCCAGUACCUCUACGCUGAAGUUGGAUGUGUACUUUCCAGCUUGGGUAGACGUACACACAGUAGGUUUGAGAGAGUAGGAGUCCCCUGCCAUCUAGGAGACCAGCCAGCGACUCCAUGAAACACACAGUUCUCUUAAUCCCAGAAUAAACACUACUGGACAAUCCCUGCACUUGCUCACUACCAACCAGGUCCUUCCUAGUUCAAAGACAAGGCCUGGCUGAAAGUUAAUACAUGAGCAGGGACAGGUGGUCACAAUGAGGUGGGGAAGAGUCACAGGAGUUUAUGAGCCACAUAAUGCAAUGAGACUAAAGGCUUGUCUACGCUUGAAACGCUACAGUUCUCCCAUUGGCAUAAGUGAUCCAUCUCUCCAAGAGGUGCUAGCUAGAUCAACGGAAGGUAGUGCUGUCUACACCAGGGGUUAGGGCAGCAUAACUACGUCGCUCAGGAGAGUGGGUUUUUCACACCCCUGAAUGAUGUAGCUGGGUCGACCUUAUUUUUUGGGGUAGACCAGGGCUGAGCUAGCAUGCUAAACCCAGCAGUGUAGCCACAACGACAUGGAUCUCGGAGAGGGUUAUGCUCUGGUGGUUAGCCCGUGCUGCCGGCCACUUCCUAAAAAUAUUGCUCUAGAUCAAUCAGAGCUAGCACACGUACACCUCCCCGAGCUGGAGCUGACACCUUCGCUGCAGUGUAGACGUCCCCUCGGCCAUAUCCAUGCAAAGCUGGUGCCUGGGUGUAAGCGAGAGCGGCCAUCUCGGUCUAGCAUCUUGCUAUGUCUGUGACUAGAGGAAACAGAAGAUCUUCCAGAAGCAUCAAUAGCUUCAGCAGCCCAGGAUAGGUGCUCUUUCGUACUCUCUAAUUUUUCCCCAGAAAGUGACUCUGAAGGUCACUACGGGAUUUUGAAUUUACUGGGCAUUAUUUAGGGAUUAAAGAAAGAAGCAAUCACAAUCCCUGGGACAGGCUGCACCCCUUGUGGACUGGGGCCUCCAUGGACUAGAAGAACAGAAACCCUUUAUCCUUUAGAUCGGUCCGGUUUCAUCGUGCUUGUGCGGUGAGAGCUGCGAAGUGGCUUGGGGGCAAGUAACAGAGUUCACCACUCUUUCUUGCUCUCUGCUACUUCGUUAUAAUGGCAUGUAUUCAAUCUCAGACUAUGGGAUCUUUAAUGUGGUGGGUUGGCUGGCAGGGGGCACCAUUGGGGCUUGAAGAACAUUGGCAGACCAGAGGUCUGGAGGGAGCCCGAGACCAGCACAGCCAGACACUGCGCCCAACCACCCCAGAGUGCUCUCAGCAACGUUGCUUAUGUGACUGAAGUGAACACAGCAGCUGAGGGGCGUGCACUAAGGAUCACUGCGUCGCUGGAAUUCUUAUAGGAGUAGAGUCAAGUCAAGUAGUGGUCAGUUAUUAGGCAUUAGUUCUACAGCUUGAUUUUGUAUAUGAAAAGGAAGCUUCUCCUUCAUAUCAUCCCCCCAAGAGAGGUUGCACACAAUGGGCUUAGAUUUACCCCCAUGGCAUAGGUGUUGCAGCGAUCGUUGAGCCCAAGGGGCAGGACUCAUGUCUGGGCAGGAAGGCAGGUGGCUGCAGAGGGAAGGACAAUUUUAAUCUCUGUCUGGGGUCUCCAUAGGAACCACACUGGAGGAGGUGGCUUAGGAGAUAAGCUGAAUCAGUCCAUCUCCUGGAUGGUAGUGCCCAGUCCCUUGGGACUUGAUCCACGCCAGGUACACUAUCAACCUCCAGGGGCAUGGAGAUUGCGUUGCACUAGAAGAACAUGGUGGAACGUACGCAAUGAAUCUAGGACAAUAUACUAGGCCUCCCACAGCAGGGAAUAUACCAGAGCUCCUCACUUGAGGGCCCGAAUGUGUAACCAAGAGAAGAAUUAUCCCCCCAUUCUUUGGAUGUAAUUGUUUUCUUCUCCUUAGACUAGUUUUGUGGCCUAGAGAUUUACCCCGGAGGAAGCAGCUGUUUGAGGAUUUUGUUUUGUGUGUCGAUACUUCUUUUAAUAAGAUACAUAGAACAAUAAGCUGCCCUCAAUCCAUCUACUCCGCUUUCCCAGGCAUCGCUGGGCAUAGCACCAUGGACCGAGGGCAGCAGCCGGACCUCAGCUCGUGGGGGAAACCAGUACUGACAGAUUAUACAGUCUCCUCAAUAAAGACCGCGUGGAGGCCUCUCUGUGGAUAUAUCAUGGAGACUGAGUUCCCCCGGGAAGGAGUAGAAUCAAGGACCAGUGCUCACUGUGGCAUUGCACUCAUCUGGCGCCUUGGACAGCACUGAAGGCAGACAAAGGCAAACGCACAGCGCAGCGAGGGAGAAGAGGCUGUGGGGUCUGACUCUGCUCUCCAAGAUCAAAGGCGGGGCUGACGCUGCUGGAGUCCGGGGCAUUACGGCAGAGUAAAACGGGGGCCUGUGACUGUGGCAUGAACAAAGAGGAACAAAACAGGAACCGCCCAAGGAAGGACCAGGCCAUAAAUUAAAGAGAGCAAAGACAAUGCUUCCAAGGGUCUGGUUUAACAAACCAACUGCAACUUCCCCUUGGCUCAGGGAAAACCGCGAAGGAAGGAAACACACCAGGCUGGGGGAGGAGUGAUAGGAGUGAUGCCAAACUCAGCAGCAAGGAUUGGAAUAAGCCUGGGCCGGAUGUGAGAAGAGUCGUUACCAUGGAGAGCUCUCUAGCACCCACCUCACAGAGACUGUACAAAUCUUCAGCCAGAAAAUCACUCUGGUCACCCACCAGAAGAUCCACUCCCAGGCAGGGCCCUACAUCUGCACUGCUUGCGGGAAGAGCGGCAUCACCGACAGGAGCGUGGCCACACACAGGAGGCGGUACACGGGCAAGCAGCUGUUAGUCUGUGCCCAGUGUGGGAAGAGCUUCACCUGGAAGGAGAACUUCACGAUGCACCAGAGGAGCCACACAGGCCAGAGGCCCUAUGCCUGCAGGCAGUGCUUUGUGCACAAAAAGACCCCUAAGACACACCGGCUGGUCUACCUGCAGGAGACUCCCCCAUAAGUGCAGCAGCCAGUGUGGGAAGUGGUUUGUUAAGGUCUCCUUGGCCAUGCCCCAGAGGAUACACCAGGACGAACAGCCCUACAUGUGCCCCAGGUAAAGCAAAAGCUUCCCACAUAAAAAAACCCUCAAAAUGCACCCGGGACUGCCAUGAGAAAGAGGCCGCACCAACAUAAAAGAGGGUCUGGAUGCACAUGAUGGACAGCAAGUAAGCCUUGGUGUGAUGAGGAGUAUGGUGCCCCAGAGGGCUCAGCUCGGUGAGGGUGAGACCCACAGCACUGGGAACAACUUCAGUCCCAUCAUAGCAGGAAUCCACCCAGCAGGGGGCUCCUACGUAUGCACUGAGCACGAGGAUUGGUUCCAGACGGCUGGAAACCUCCCAGCCCACCAGACAGCUCGCCCAGCCAGGAGGCCACAUGAGAGCAGGGACUGUGGAGGUCACUCGGGUCAAGGGGUAGCUCAGCCAAUAAGCGGUGCACUGGGAAAAUCACUGGCCGAGAACGGGGAAGGGCUGGCUCUCAGAGGAAGUCAUUAGACCUGGAAGAAAGCCCAGGUGGGGAAGAGGGUGUACACGUGCACCAGCAUGGGGAGAAGUUCACCUCACCAGACAUGCGCUGACCCACGGGCAGGACAGGCCCCAUGAAGGCAGCGCCUGCAGCGAAGGCUUCGUUGAGAGGUCGCGGCUAGUGAUACGCCAGCAGAUCCACACGAACGAGACACCCGAUUGGUGCAACAUGUGAGAGAAGAGCUUCAACCAGAAAAAUGAUCAUCACCCCAGUGCAGCCAUGCCCAGGAGAGGCCCUUUGCCUGUCUUCAGUGUGGGAGGGGCUCACAGCUCAUGGCACCCCAAAAGGGCUGCAUGGGCGAACAGCCACUCCCAGCUGCCGAGUGAGGGAAGAGCUUCAGUCAGGAGAUGAUCAGAGGCUCCAUACUAGGGCGGAGGCUGUUCAUACGCAUGGGGCCCCGUGGGGAGUCUAAAGAUGCCCCAGCAGCCCAACAGAGGGGUGAGGCCUCACAUAGGUCUGGUGCGUGGGAGGAACGCCACUCAGAAAUCGAGCUUCAACAGGCACCAAGAGGUCCCCGCGUGCAGUAUCAAGUGGUGAUUGCAAAGAUUAUUGCCGUUGCUUCUGAUGUCCUGCAGAGCCCGGCUGCUCCGGUGAGAUCCCUCCCAGGGGGUAAGGAUGGGUUGUAGCAGAGAUCUCUGCAACGGACAUCCCCCCUUUGGGCUCUCAGCAAAGCAGCAAGCUACUCAGUGUGGAAUUGCACUGUGCCGUGAUUUCCAUUGCAUAUGAACCAGAUAACCCAGACCCAGCACAGAACUAGGGACCUCCACAGGGCAUUGAUAUUUUGCAUCUGUGAGGUUUUCCUGAAGUCCUAUAAUAAAAUGUAACAUAUUUCUCUCA